UACGUAGGCAGCGAGCGUUGUUCGGAGUUACUGGGCGUAAAGAGCGCGCAGGCGGUCGUUCAAGUCGAGUGUGAAAGCCCCCGGCUCAACUGGGGAGGGUCACUCGAUACUGAUCGACUGGAAGGCAGGAGAGGGAAGCGGAAUUCCCGGUGUAGUGGUGAAAUGCGUAGAUAUCGGGAGGAACACCAGUGGCGAAGGCGGCUUCCUGGCCUGUUCUUGACGCUGAGGCGCGAAAGCUAGGGGAGCAAACGGG
rnacentral:rRNA from 1 species